CUCUUUCUUCCUGUGGCCCAAUUCUGAAAUCCCCCAGACUCGGGGCCUCCCAGUGCUAGGCAGCUGGCAGUUUCUCCAGCACUGACUUGGCAUCUUACCCCCUUCACACAAAGCAGAUAUUGUUGAAGGAAGCAACCAUCCUGUGGUCUCUUGGCAUCACCCCCUGCCCGGCAUGCAUGUGGGAGAAGGAGCGUCUCACUGAGAAGAGAUUCUAUCUUAUUGUAAGUCUCUUUGGAGAGAGGACGCCCAGGAGAAUGCCUUUGCUCAGAGGUGAGGAUAGGGUGGGGCGGGUGAGGUGAUUUCCUGGGAUCACCUGGUAAUGCCGACAGGAUAUUGCAAAUGCCCUGUUCAGGCCUUGUUAAAUGGCUCAUGUUCUUGCUUCCACUGUCACUGCUAUUGUCCAAGCCUCUUGGAUUUGUGUUAUACAGUGGCACACUUGGUCCAGUGUCAAGCAUUCUGAAGUCAGUGGUCUAGAGUCUUAGUCUCACUUUUUUAUUGCUAGUGGUUGUCUCAGUCAAUGCUCUAUUGCUAUAAAGAUGUAUUCUCCCCUCCCCCAGCCUGAAACCUGCUUGCUCAGGGGUGGAGCUUCCCGCUCAAUCGUUCUGCCACGCCCACUGCUGGAACCUGCUGCUUUGCUGUUUGGAGCCAUACACGUGGUCACCCUGAUACUGGACUCCGAGAUUAUUUGGUGGGAAUCGGGCCCCUCCACCUUCCUUCAUAACUGAGUGUCGCAACAGUAAAAUUGAGCUUUGAUCAGAA
rnacentral:lncRNA from 1 species